rnacentral:lncRNA from 1 species
GAAAGCUCAAAACUAAAUAAGACACAACUUUUAUCCUCAAAUAGCUUAUAGCUCCAGUAGAGAAUAUGUAUAUAAAUCAAAGUUCAAACCAGUGUGGCAGUUUUACAACAUGGCCCCCAAUUUUUUUGAUACUUCUCCCACUGAGAGGUGGGGUCUAUACCACCACAUCUUGAAUCUGGAUGGACUUGCAACUACCUCAGCCAUGCAAGUAUGAGGAAAGAGAAACUGUGUCAUAGAAGACGGUGCAGCUUCUGCCAAGUUCUUUUGGAAUGCUUGCUGGAAUGCUUGCUCUUCUGGAAGGCUCCCUCUCAGGACCCAGCUGCCACGCUGUGAGAAGUCCAAGCCACAGGAACAAGCAGAUCCACAUUAGCCAAAAUGUGAAAACCAGGAGGACUAAACGGAUUGAAAUACUAGAGAAUUUAUUAAUAUAAUUCGUGACAUCAAUAAGCUGAAGAUAAUGUGUAGAAAUAACGGAACAACUCUUGGAAAACUCCAGAUCAUGCAGCAUAAGUGAAAGCUGACUACAGACUGAAGUUCUCAUCAUGAAAUCGUGCUGCAUUUUCCUCAGAAAAUGAAGUAUGGAAGCUGCAAUGAUACCUGUAAACUAUCGAGAGAAAACAGACAAAAACAGGGCUUUGUCCUUGAUCGGCUAAAUAAUUCAAAAUAAAGACUCCUUUUCACCUGAAGUAGUGGGGCUAAUUAGAGCCUAAAAUAGGUUUGGCUUCAGUUAUCUAGAUAAUCUACUUGUUUGUUUAUUUAGUCUGAAAUUAGAAGCUUAAAAAUGAAUCAACUUUCAAGUGAAAACAAAAAGACUUUGAAAACUAUCUUCCAAAAGAGUUUGAAUUUAAAAUGACCUCUUUGGGUGGCCUAUUUGUAAAUAUACUAAAUAAAUAUUGGUCUUAUUUACUUUAGAUUUGCACAUCAAAACUUAGAAAUAUUAGUAAAUUCAAGAGCACCUUCCUAACCUACCUAUCGCAAAUUCACUUUCUUGACCAAUUUCACACAAACGCACAUACACAUGUGCCCCAUCCUUCUGCACCUUGGUCCCGUUCUCAGGCAAGUACUAAGAACAACCCGUGCUAUGUAGGACUAUGAGUCUCCAUUUUGUCUGGACAUUAGGAUCACAUGGGGAGCCAACACUCAGGAUACACUAAACACCAAUUAAAUCCAAGUCUCUACAACUGGGACCCAAGCAGCAUGUUUGUAAAACUCCCCAGGUGAAUCCAAUCUACAGUCAAGGUUGAGAGCCACUGUUUUAAGAGUUGGAUAAUUUUCCUACAAAGCAGCCUGGAAAAGACAGAUCAAAAGCACCCAACUCUUGGGGCCAGCUCCAAUGAACAUAUUCAGUAUUUCAAGAGAUGGGCAGCAAUACAUAUAGUUAAGUAGAAAUUGCUAGGCAAAAAUUGUCAUAUAUAGAAGGCACUUGAACUGAGAUGAAAUAUACAAAUGAUGAGAGGAGACGGCAGCCUUUGUCUCUGGACAUAGACGUACUUUAAGUGAAGAUACGCACAGCUGUGUACCUGGACUCAGAGGUUCUGAGAGGAGGGCGCAAUGGUUCCUUGAGAGAAGAAAAGUCGAAAGAAAAGUGAGAGAGAGGAUGAGAGAGCUAAUAAACGUGUUGGAGAAACAGCAACUCUAGUCUACAGGAUA